GCCGGGAUGGCACAAUCUGGUACUGCGCAGGCCUGGAACCUGAUGCAAGAGAGCCUGUUUCCUUCGGGAUUUCUGGGUUCAAAUCCCAGUCCCGGCG
rnacentral:tRNA from 1 species